CGGAAGGCCAAAGAAAAAUAGGAGGAACCCAAAAGAUGAACCAAAGAAAAAAAGACCAAGACAACUUAGUAGGGUUGGGUUGAUAAUGACAUGCAGUGUUUGUGGAAUUGAGGCUCAUAACAAACAAAGAUGUCCGUAGGAGACCCAUCAACCACUAAAUGUAAAGCCUCAAGAAGCAAAUUUUUCAACUCAUCAAUUGCAAAAUGCAGAGCCUGAAGUCGUAAAUAAUUUAGUAAAUAUUAAACUUAUAAUUUGGAUUUUAUUUCAUAUUUGGAUGAUUAAAUUAAUUUUUCUUUUGUUUGCUACAGAGGAUCAAUCAACUAGAAACUGCUGAUGCUGAAGUUGUAACACAUUCAGUAAUGAUAAUUUUGUAAAUCUAAUUUUAUGUGUCAUUAAAUAAAUAUGAAAUUGG